AUUGAACGCUGGCGGCAGGCCUAACACAUGCAAGUCGAACGGUAACAGGAAGAAGCUUGCUUCUUUGCUGACGAGUGGCGGACGGGUGAGUAAUGUCUGGGAAACUGCCUGAUGGAGGGGGAUAACUACUGGAAACGGUAGCUAAUACCGCAUAACGUCGCAAGACCAAAAAAGGGGGACCCUUUCGGGGCCCUCUUGCCAUCGGAUGUGCCCAGAUGGGAUUAGCUAGUAGGUGGGGUAACGGCUCACCUAGGCGACGAUCCCUAGCUGGUCUGAGAGGAUGACCAGCCACACUGGAACUGAGACACGGUCCAGACUCCUACGGGAGGCAGCAGUGGGGAAUAUUGCACAAUGGGCGCAAGCCUGAUGCAGCCAUGCCGCGUGUAUGAAGAAGG
rnacentral:rRNA from 1 species